CCCAGACUCCUACGGGAGGCAGCAGUGGGGGAUAUUGCACAAUGGGGGGAACCCUGAUGCAGCGACGCCGCGUGGGUGAAGAAGCGCCUCGGCGCGUAAAGCCCUGUCAGCAGGGAAGAAAAUGACGGUACCUGAAGAAGAAGCCCCGGCUAACUACGUGCCAGCAGCCGCGGUAAUACGUAGGGGGCAAGCGUUAUCCGGAUUUACUGGGUGUAAAGGGGGCGCAGACGGCGAUGCAAGCCAGGAGUGAAAGCCCGGGGCCCAACCCCGGGACUGCUCUUGGAACUGCGUGGCUAGAGUGCAGGAGGGGCAGGCGGAAUUCCUGGUGUAGCGGUGAAAUGCGUAGAUAUCAGGAGGAACAUCGGUGGCGAAAGCGCUUUACUGGACCAUUAUUGACGCUGAGGAACGAAAGCCAGGGGAGCAAAUGGGAUUAGAUACCCGAGUAGCA
rnacentral:rRNA from 1 species